GUGAUGAGGAGGAGAGAGAUGAAGAUGAUUGUGGUGGUGUGUUUCCGAGGAGGAUUGGAGGGAUCAGAGGAAUCAGUGUCGAAAGAAAGAAGAGCAGUGGAUGGGUUCUGUGAGUCUUCUUCUUGAGUUGGUAUCUGCGUAGGCUUUGUGGAAUUCAAAGCCGGAACAGAACCCAUGAUUAAAAAAAAAACUAAAACUUCAAACCAGUGCAGAGAAAGAUCUUCUCUUUCUUUUCUCUUCUCUGGUUCGAAGGGGAAAGGGGAAUUGAAGAAGACAAAACUUUACUUGAAAGAUAGCGAAUUGAACCAGAAAUGGAGUGAGAUGAAAGGGUUGUGGAGGCUGCAAGAGAGAUGGUAGAAGGGGGCUAUCAGGAGAGGAAGG
rnacentral:misc_RNA from 1 species